rnacentral:rRNA from 1 species
UACGUAGGGGGCAAGCGUUAUCCGGAUUUACUGGGUGUAAAGGGAGCGCAGGCGGCGUGGCAAGUCAGAUGUGAAAACCCGGGGCCCAACCCCGGGAGUGCAUUUGAAACUGCCAUGCUGGAGUGCCGGAGAGGUAAGCGGAAUUCCUAGUGUAGCGGUGAAAUCCGUAGAUAUCUGGAGGAACAUCAGUGGCGAAGGCGGCCACCUGGACCGGUAUUGACGCUGAGGCGCGAAAGCGUGGGGAGCAAACAGG